GGCCUAGUGGCACAAGGUGUGCAUCUGCCCUCAAUACCCCGCUCACAGGACAAUUCCGUAGACAUCCCUGGUUCGAUUCCAGGCUAGGUCA